rnacentral:lncRNA from 1 species
AUUAGGCAAUGUGAACGAGCCGGGGAAGGGACGGGAAGGAAGUGGUGGUCAUUCAGCAGAAUUUCAGAAACGCUGAUUUCAAGGCUGCUGCCCACUUUCCAGGUCUAUACAUGGAGAUAAUAGGGAAUUUAACCUGCUCACAGCCCUUCAGGAUUUGGGGCCUGUUUCCUAAGAAAGCGAUAGCAUCUCUGAAUGGGGCCGUGUGGAGAAACCCUAAGAGAAACAGCAUAAGAGCAUUUUGGAAUAUAUCCCGCAAAAGAUAACUUUCUACACAUCUGGCAGAGAUUCUCCAGGUAAAGUGCCUUUGAGGAGGUGUGCUUUUAACACACGAACUGGAAAACAUCCCAUUUCCUCCACCUGUUUACUGGUGAGUGAGAUGAGAGGCAGGGAGGAUGGGAGAAGCGUGGCAGAUGGUGGGUCGCAUAGGGGGUGUGGGAGGUCCAGGGACUCAGUCUUGGAUCUUCUCUUUGAA